CGACGUAGCUCAGUUGGUAGAGCAAUGGUUUUGUAAACCAUCGGUCGGAGGUUCAAGUCCUCUCGUCG
rnacentral:tRNA from 1 species